UCCCCCAUUGAAGUCCAUUAUAAGGAAACAGCUUAAAGUGGACGCAUCGACGAACUGAGAACAUUGUCAUUUUGUUCAGUUUAAUUUUGUAAUAAGCAUGAAAGUAAAGACAGGUACAGGUUUCUCCUGUCUCAGCUCAUUAUCUCUAAUGAUCACGCCCUCGCUCGCUAGUCAUAUGAUAAUGAUCUACGCGAGCCAUGCGAACAACGCCCCCAAACAAUGGGACAACAACGCGUUCAUUGUCAAGUUUAUCGAUUUGUCUGCACUUUUAGAUUAUAACACGUUAAGCUGUUUCCUUAUAAUGGACUUCUAUGGGGAAGAACUCUUAACGUGAUAUAACGUGAUUUUUAGUGUGUUUGUUCAAGCAAUUAUUCAUUCUUUUAUAUGUGGUCAGGUCUGCAGGCAGAUGUUCUUACAGCUGUGGCUGAGGAGAUCCUCCUGAAUCUGCCUGCUCUGCUUGUGGUGUGUAAUGAGUGGAAGGAGCUGGUGGACAGUGCUGCACACUGGAGAGAGAGGAUCCAGCCACAUAAUACAUCCAGACCACCAGGGAACUGGCUCCUGUUUUCUAAACUAAGAAUUGACGCAACUUGUUCAAGAAUCCCAGAGCAGAAGGUAGGUGAGCCACAUAAUUAAGCUUACACAGCCAUGAUAAGUGAGUACAUACUGUGUAAACAAGUGAACUAAUGCAUCAACCAGUGUUCUUAUGAACUUCAAGGCUGGAAUAUUAUACAGAAUGGAGAUAAUUGCUGGGCUGCACAUGAAAACAGACGUAAAUUUCUGGAUAACAAGGUCACCAAAUGUUUUGUGCCAUCUUAUGUGUACACUUGAUAUUUUAGAUCCUUCAGGAAGGUUUUGAGCCCAUUUCAUUUCAGUCGAUAUUACAGUAUGAAAAUAAAUUAAUCAUCAAGCCAAUCCACAUAUGAAUCACCCAUAAACCUUGUUCCUCAGGUUGCGUUUGAAGCAACAGCUGAUCGAUUUGAAGAAAGAAGGCUACAGCGCUGCUUUCAUGGAUCAACUGCAACCUCAAAUAAAAAAAUCAGAGCAUUCACUCAAACUCUCAUUUCGUGCUGCAGUACCCUUUUUUAUUUUUAUUUUUUUUUUGUGAAUGACCUGUCCACCUGGGUCACAUGCACCUUGUGCUCACUCUGUUAUAUAUUCAUAUUUAAAUAUUACAUUUAUGCUAUGGGAGAUUGUUGUUCAUUUUACUGGACAAAUCUGCAAAUAUGGUAUGUGAUUUUAUGCACAAGACAGAAAUUGAAUGUCAUUAAGAACACAGUAGCCUAAUCAGUGUUAGCUACAAAUCAUGUUCUCACAUGAAAAUACAUUCACCCCAUGCUGUAAUUACUGUAAUUAUGAGAUUCCAACUUGUAAAACAUCCUUGUAGAACUCAUAAUUACAAUUUGUAAACUGGGAAUUUCUGAGAGCCACAAUUACUGUACAAAUGACCUGACUGCCACAAAUUCUUUUAGGCACUAUAUGUUGAUAGUUUUGCCAUACACAUAAUUCAGAGUCUGAGUACAUGACCAGCUCUGAAUGGCAUAUUGUCAUCUUAAAAGUACAGUAAUUACAUGAGGUGAACGUGGAAACAAUUUGACGUCUCUGCUGGUGCAGGUAUACUGUACACUUUGAUUGUGGAAGUGAGUAUCAGAUCAGUGUAAAGUUGCUUGAUCAGAAGAAAAACCCCAUCAGUUUCUUUCAGCCUGAGAAAGUUUUUUCCCAACAGUGGAACAAUGAGAGGUGGUGUCAACUGUCAAGUGAGUAGAACAAUACUGACAGUCCAGUUAUUCCUCUGUAAUCAAACUAAUAGUCAAAGCUUAACUGUCUCUGUUCUGCUUUAUUUCAGAUGUCACAUGUCUUUAAGGAUUAUGGACCUGGGGUUCGGUUUAUCCAUUUCACUUGCGGAGGGAAGGAGAGAUUAGUCAUGUAUAUUAUAUUUUAUAUUAUUCAAGGUUUUUAAUGUCACAUGAUGAUAUUGUGAAACAGUAUUUUUCAUUUGCUAUAAUAAGACUUUGUGCUGGUCAGUGGAAGUCUGAGCAUUGAAAUGUACACAACUAAGAUUAUUCAAUAAACCAUUUAUUUAUUUA